UAAUACGUAGGGUGCAAGCGUUAAUCGGAAUUACUGGGCGUAAAGCGUGCGCAGGCGGUUGUGCAAGACCGAUGUGAAAUCCCCGGGCUUAACCUGGGAAUGGCAUUGGUGACUGCACGGCUAGAGUGUGUCAGAGGGGGGUAGAAUUCCACGUGUAGCAGUGAAAUGCGUAGAGAUGUGGAGGAAUACCGAUGGCGAAGGCAGCCCCCUGGGAUAACACUGACGCUCAUGCACGAAAGCGUGGGGAGCAAACAGGAUUAGAUACCCUGGUAGUCCACGCCCUAAACGAUGUCAACUAGUUGUCGGGUCUUAAUUGACUUGGUAACGCAGCUAACGCGUGAAGUUGACCGCCUGGGGAGUACGGUCGCAAGAUUA
rnacentral:rRNA from 1 species